rnacentral:lncRNA from 1 species
GUUUGUAAAUUUUUUUUUCUAUUUUAAUGGCAAAAUACACUCUAUUAAUAAAUAUAGUAAUCAGCAAAGUAGUGGAUGUUAGGGAGGAAAUACAAGAAUAUUGAAAAAAUAGCAGGUUCUUAUCAGUUUUGUAAUGUUUUAAAUACAGGAAAACCUGUGCUAAGUGGUCACCUUUCGGCAGCUGAGACUAUGGACACCAAGUACAGAUUGGCCACUAGAUACAGUUCGGCAGUUGAGACUGUGGCCACUAAGAACAGGUUGGCCACUAGGCAUAGUUAGCUACAAAUUUCUUUAUUAACCAUCAAAGAUUUAUUCAUUUCAGAAUGCUCAACUGAUAGAAGAUCUAGAGCCCAUCUGGCAUUUCUGAUCAAAACAUGAUUUUCUGCCUAUCUGGUAUAUGUCAC